rnacentral:lncRNA from 1 species
CCGUCUACGUCUACCACCUGUGCGGGUUUUCGCUGCCUUCUGGAAAGUGGAGGUUCCCCUCCAGACUCUUGCUCUGAGGCCAUCCUGAAGAAGAUGCUCUGUCCUCACUUUCCGGUUCCCCUUAUGAAAAUGAACCUUGGAAAUACCUGGAUUCACAAUACCAGAACAGCUAUGGCUCUCGCCCUGCUUGGGCUGACUACUGCUGCAACCACAAACGCUUGCCGCCAGUGCUGCUGGGAAUCCUUGCCCCAUCUGCCGGCAUCACAAGUUUCACGUUGAC